AUACGGAGGGUGCGAGCGUUAAUCGGAAUUACUGGGCGUAAAGAGCGCGUAGGUGGCUUGGUAAGUCGGAUGUGAAAGCCCCGGGCUUAACCUGGGAAUGGCAUUCGAAACUGCCAGGCUAGAGUAUGGUAGAGGGAAGUGGAAUUCCGGGUGUAGCGGUGAAAUGCGUAGAUAUCCGGAGGAACACCAGUGGCGAAGGCGGCUUCCUGGACCAAUACUGACACUGAGGUGCGAAAGCGUGGGGAGCAAACAGGAUUAGAUACCCGGGUAGUCC
rnacentral:rRNA from 1 species